GGCUGGUUCACAGGCAGUGAGUUAUCUCGCUUGAUUAUUCAGUCGGUUACAGAUUGAACUCCUUGUUCUACUACUUUCCCCCUUCUCACUACUGCACUUGACUAGUCAAAA
rnacentral:Y_RNA from 1 species